rnacentral:rRNA from 1 species
AACGAACGCUGGCGGCAGGCUUAACACAUGCCAGUCGAGCGCCCCGCAAGGGGAGCGGCCGACGGGUGAGUAACGCGUGGGAACGUACCUUUUGGUUCGGAACAACUCCGGGAAACUGGAGCUAAUACCGGAUAAGCCCUAACGGGGAAAGAUUUAUCGCCGAAAGAUCGGCCCGCGUCUGAUUAGCUAGUUGGUGAGGUAACGGCUCACCAAGGCGACGAUCAGUAGCUGGUCUGAGAGGAUGAUCAGCCACACUGGGACUGAGACACGGCCCAGACUCCUACGGGAGGCAGCAGUGGGGAAUAUUGGACAAUGGGCGCAAGCCUGAUCCAGCCAUGCCGCGUGAGUGAUGAAGGCCUUAGGGUUGUAAAGCUCUUUUGUCCGGGAAGAUAAUGACUGUACCGGAAGAAUAAGCCCCGGCUAACUUCGUG